UACGUAGGGUGCGAGCGUUAAUCGGAAUUACUGGGCGUAAAGCGUGCGCAGGCGGUUCGCUGUGUCCGAUGUGAAAGCCCCGGGCUUAACCUGGGAAUGGCAUUGGAAACUGGCGGGCUUGAGUGUGGCAGAGGGGGGUGGAAUUCCGCGUGUAGCAGUGAAAUGCGUAGAGAUGCGGAGGAACACCGAUGGCGAAGGCAGCCCCCUGGGCUAACACUGACGCUCAGGCACGAAAGCGUGGGGAUCAAACAGG
rnacentral:rRNA from 1 species